ACGGGUGCGUAACGCGUAUGCAACCUACCUAUCACUGGGGGAUAGCCCGGGGAAACCCGGAUUAAUACCGCAUAAAACAGGGGCACCGCAUGGUGAUAUUUGUUAAAGAUUUAUUGGUGAUAGAUGGGCAUGCGUUCGAUUAGCUAGUUGGCGGGGUAACGGCCCACCAAGGCGACGAUCGAUAGGGGAGCUGAGAGGUUGAUCCCCCACACGGGCACUGAGAUACGGGCCCGACUCCUACGGGAGGCAGCAGUAGGGAAUAUUGGGCAAUGGAUGCAAGUCUGACCCAGCCAUGCCGCGUGCCGGAUGAAGGCCCUCAGGGUUGUAAACGGCUUUUAUUCGGGAAGAAGAGCAGGGAUGCGUCCUUGUGUGACGGUACCGAAUGAAUAAGCACCGGCUAACUCCGUGCCAGCAGCCGCGGUAAUACGGAGGGUGCGAGCGUUGUCCGGAUUUAUUGGGUUUAAAGGGUGCGUAGGUGGCUUUAUAAGUCAGUGGUGAAAUACAGCCGCUCAACGGUUGAGGUGCCAUUGAUACUGCAAAGCUUGAAAUAAUUGGAGGCUGCCGGAAUGGAUGGUGUAGCGGUGAAAUGCAUAGA
rnacentral:rRNA from 2 species